AGUGAACGCUGGCGGUAGGCCUAACACAUGCAAGUCGAACGGCAGCACAGUAAGAGCUUGCUCUUACGGGUGGCGAGUGGCGGACGGGUGAGGAAUACAUCGGAAUCUACUUUUUCGUGGGGGAUAACGUAGGGAAACUUACGCUAAUACCGCAUACGACCUACGGGUGAAAGCAAGGGAUCUUCGGACCUUGCGCGAUUGAAUGAGCCGAUGUCGGAUUAGCUAGUUGGCGGGGUAAAGGCCCACCAAGGCGACGAUCCGUAGCUGGUCUGAGGGGAUGAUCAGCCACACUGGAACUGAGACACGGUCCAGACUCCUACGGGAGGCAGCAGUGGGGAAUAUUGGACAAUGGGCGCAAGCCUGAUCCAGCCAUACUGCGUGGGUGAAGAAGGCUUUCGGGUUGUAAAGCCCUUUUGUUGGGAAAGAAAAGCAGCAGGUUAAUACCCCGCUGUUCUGACGGUACCCAAAGAAUAAGCACCGGCUAACUUCGUG
rnacentral:rRNA from 1 species